rnacentral:rRNA from 1 species
AUGCCCGCUCGCCGCCGCACGCCCCGUCGGCUGCCCGACACCCGCGCAACCCCGCGCAGUCCUACCGCCCGCUGCUCAACCCCGCCCAGUCCUACCGCCCGCUGCCAGAGGCCGUCGCCCUCGCCCGCUGCCGGAGACCCCGGCCCGUGGACGCCGCCCCUCGUCCGCUGCCCAAGAAUCGCGAGCGCCGCCCCGCCCACUCGCCUCGUCCACUGCGUCACAGGGCGACAUCCCUCGGCAGCGCCCCGGCCCCCGUGCUGCCCGCCCCGAACCCCACCAGUGCGCCCUCCCUUGGCGGCGCCUACGUUCUGCGAAGUCGAGCCAGUGGGCGUCGACUGGCUCCCCUCCGCCGGGCAUUAA